UAAGUUAUUAAGGGCGCACGGUGGAUGCCUUGGCACUAGAAGCCGAUGAAGGACGUUACUAACGACGAUAUGCUUUGGGGAGCUGUAAGUAAGCUUUGAUCCAGAGAUUUCCGAAUGGGGAAACCCAGCAUGAGUUAUGUCAUGUUAUCGAUAUGUGAAUACAUAGCAUAUCAGAAGGCACACCCGGAGAACUGAAACAUCUUAGUACCCGGAGGAAGAGAAAGAAAAUUCGAUUCCCUUAGUAGCGGCGAGCGAAACGGGAAGAGCCCAAACCAAAAAGCUUGCUUGUUGGGGUUGUAGGACACUCUAUACGGAGUUACAAAGGACGACAUUAGACGAAUCAUCUGGAAAGAUGAAUCAAAGAAGGUAAUAAUCCUGUAGUCGAAAAUGUUGUCUCUCUUGAGUGGAUCCUGAGUACGACGGAGCACGUGAAAUUCCGUCGGAAUCUGGGAGGACCAUCUCCUAAGGCUAAAUACUCUCUAGUGACCGAUAGUGAACCAGUACCGUGAGGGAAAGGUGAAAAGCACCCCGGAAGGAGAGUGAAAUAGAACCUGAAACCGUGUGCUUACAAGUAGUCAGAGCCCGUUAAUGGGUGAUGGCGUGCCUUUUGUAGAAUGAACCGGCGAGUUACGAUUUGAUGCAAGGUUAAGCAGUAAAUGUGGAGCCGUAGCGAAAGCGAGUCUGAAUAGGGCGUUUAGUAUUUGGUCGUAGACCCGAAACCAGGUGAUCUACCCUUGGUCAGGUUGAAGUUCAGGUAACACUGAAUGGAGGACCGAACCGACUUACGUUGAAAAGUGAGCGGAUGAACUGAGGGUAGCGGAGAAAUUCCAAUCGAACCUGGAGAUAGCUGGUUCUCUCCGAAAUAGCUUUAGGGCUAGCCUCAAGUGAUGAUUAUUGGAGGUAGAGCACUGUUUGGACGAGGGGCCCCUCUCGGGUUACCGAAUUCAGACAAACUCCGAAUGCCAAUUAAUUUAACUUGGGAGUCAGAACAUGGGUGAUAAGGUCCGUGUUCGAAAGGGAAACAGCCCAGACCACCAGCUAAGGUCCCAAAAUAUAUGUUAAGUGGAAAAGGAUGUGGCGUUGCCCAGACAACUAGGAUGUUGGCUUAGAAGCAGCCAUCAUUUAAAGAGUGCGUAAUAGCUCACUAGUCGAGUGACACUGCGCCGAAAAUGUACCGGGGCUAAACAUAUUACCGAAGCUGUGGAUUGUCCUUUGGACAAUGGUAGGAGAGCGUUCUAAGGGCGUUGAAGCAUGAUCGUAAGGACAUGUGGAGCGCUUAGAAGUGAGAAUGCCGGUGUGAGUAGCGAAAGACGGGUGAGAAUCCCGUCCACCGAUUGACUAAGGUUUCCAGAGGAAGGCUCGUCCGCUCUGGGUUAGUCGGGUCCUAAGCUGAGGCCGACAGGCGUAGGCGAUGGAUAACAGGUUGAUAUUCCUGUACCACCUAUAAUCGUUUUAAUCGAUGGGGGGACGCAGUAGGAUAGGCGAAGCGUGCGAUUGGAUUGCACGUCUAAGCAGUAAGGCUGAGUAUUAGGCAAAUCCGGUACUCGUUAAGGCUGAGCUGUGAUGGGGAGAAGACAUUGAGUCUUCGAGUCGUUGAUUUCACACUGCCGAGAAAAGCCUCUAGAUAGAAAAUAGGUGCCCGUACCGCAAACCGACACAGGUAGUCAAGAUGAGAAUUCUAAGGUGAGCGAGCGAACUCUCGUUAAGGAACUCGGCAAAAUGACCCCGUAACUUCGGGAGAAGGGGUGCUCUUUAGGGUUAACGCCCAGAAGAGCCGCAGUGAAUAGGCCCAAGCGACUGUUUAUCAAAAACACAGGUCUCUGCUAAACCGUAAGGUGAUGUAUAGGGGCUGACGCCUGCCCGGUGCUGGAAGGUUAAGAGGAGUGGUUAGCUUCUGCGAAGCUACGAAUCGAAGCCCCAGUAAACGGCGGCCGUAACUAUAACGGUCCUAAGGUAGCGAAAUUCCUUGUCGGGUAAGUUCCGACCCGCACGAAAGGCGUAACGAUUUGGGCACUGUCUCAACGAGAGACUCGGUGAAAUCAUAGUACCUGUGAAGAUGCAGGUUACCCGCGACAGGACGGAAAGACCCCGUGGAGCUUUACUGUAGCCUGAUAUUGAAAUUCGGCACAGCUUGUACAGGAUAGGUAGGAGCCUUUGAAACGUGAGCGCUAGCUUACGUGGAGGCGCUGGUGGGAUACUACCCUAGCUGUGUUGGCUUUCUAACCCGCACCACUUAUCGUGGUGGGAGACAGUGUCAAGCGGGCAGUUUGACUGGGGCGGUCGCCUCCUAAAAGGUAACGGAGGCGCUCAAAGGUUCCCUCAGAAUGGUUGGAAAUCAUUCAUAGAGUGUAAAGGCAUAAGGGAGCUUGACUGCGAGACCUACAAGUCGAGCAGGGUCGAAAGACGGACUUAGUGAUCCGGUGGUUCCGCAUGGAAGGGCCAUCGCUCAACGGAUAAAAGCUACCCCGGGGAUAACAGGCUUAUCUCCCCCAAGAGUUCACAUCGACGGGGAGGUUUGGCACCUCGAUGUCGGCUCAUCGCAUCCUGGGGCUGUAGUCGGUCCCAAGGGUUGGGCUGUUCGCCCAUUAAAGCGGUACGCGAGCUGGGUUCAGAACGUCGUGAGACAGUUCGGUCCCUAUCCGUCGUGGGCGUAGGAAAUUUGAGAGGAGCUGUCCUUAGUACGAGAGGACCGGGAUGGACAUACCUCUGGUGUACCAGUUGUCGUGCCAACGGCAUAGCUGGGUAGCUAUGUGUGGACGGGAUAAGUGCUGAAAGCAUCUAAGCAUGAAGCCCCCCUCAAGAUGAGAUUUCCCAACUUCGGUUAUAAGAUCCCUCAAAGAUGAUGAGGUUAAUAGGUUCGAGGUGGAAGCAUGGUGACAUGUGGAGCUGACGAAUACUAAUCGAUCGAAGACUUAAUCA
rnacentral:rRNA from 1 species